rnacentral:rRNA from 1 species
GACGAACGCUGGCGGCGUGCUUAACACAUGCAAGUCGAACGCAGAGCGAUGGAAGCUUGCUUCUAUCACUCUUAGUGGCGCACGUGUGUGUAACGCGUAAUCAACCUGCCCUUCAGAGGGGGACCACAGUUGGAAACGACUUCUAAUCCCGCAUACGAUCUAAUCACGGCAUCGAGGAUAGAUGAACGCUGGCCUCUACAUGUAAGCUAUCACUGCAGGAGGUGAUUGAGUCUGAUUAGCUAGUUGGGGGGGUAACAGCCCACCAAGGCGAUGAUCAGUAGCCGGUCUGAGAGGAUGAACGGCCACAUUGGGACUGAGACACGGCCCAGACUCCUACGGGAGGCAGCAGUGGGGAAUCUUCCGCAAUAGACGAAAGUCUGACGGAGCAACGCCGCGUGAGUGAUGACGGCCUUCGGGUUGUAAAGCUCUGUUAAUCGGGACGAAAGGCCUUCUUGCGAAUAGGGAGAAGGAGUGACGGUACCGGAAGAGAAAGCCACGGCUAACUACGUG